rnacentral:rRNA from 1 species
CCUACGGGGAGCAGCAGUGAGGAAUAUUGGUCAAUGGGCGCGAGCCUGAACCAGCCAAGUCGCGUGAGUGAAGACGGUCCUAUGGAUUGUAAACCUCUUUUGCCGGGGAGCAAAAGACGCCACGUGUGGCGUUCCGAGAGUACCCUAAGAAAAAGCAUCGGCUAACGCCGGACCAGCAGCCGCGGUAAUAGGGGGGAUGCGAGCGUUAUCCGGAUUUGUUGGGUUUAAGGGGUGCGCAGGGGGAAGAUAAAGUCAGCGGUAAAAGUGAGAGGCUCAACCGCUACGAGCCGUUGAAACUGGUUGUCUUGAGUGAGCGAGAAGUAUGCGGAAUGCGUGGUGUAGCGGUGAAAUGCAUAGAGAUCACGAAGAACUCCGAUUGCGAAGGCAGCAUACCGGCGCUCAACUGACGCUCAUGCACGAAAGUGUGGGUAUCGAACAGGAUUAGAUACCCGAGUAGUC